rnacentral:rRNA from 1 species
AUUGAACGCUGGCGGCAUGCUUUACACAUGCAAGUCGAACGGCAGCGCGGGCUUCGGCCUGGCGGCGAGUGGCGAACGGGUGAGUAAUGCAUCGGAACGUGCCCAGUAGUGGGGGAUAGCCCGGCGAAAGCCGGAUUAAUACCGCAUACGACCUGAGGGUGAAAGCGGGGGACCGAAAGGCCUCGCGCUAUUGGAGCGGCCGAUGUCGGAUUAGCUAGUUGGUGGGGUAAAGGCUUACCAAGGCGACGAUCCGUAGCUGGUCUGAGAGGACGACCAGCCACACUGGGACUGAGACACGGCCCCGACUCCUACGGGAGGCAGCAGUGGGGAAUUUUGGACAAUGGGGGCAACCCUGAUCCAGCCAUGCCGCGUGCGGGAAGAAGGCCUUCGGGUUGUAAACCGCUUUUGUUCGGGAAGAAAUCCUCUGGGCUAAUACCCCGGGGGGAUGACGGUACCGGAAGAAUAAGCACCGGCUAACUACGUG